GCGUCGUUCCUUCUCCGACUCAUUUCCCCUAAAGGUUGAGCCUAUGGGGAGUGGGCGGUAGGGUGUGAUUGGAAACGGUCACGCCUCCCGUGCUUGGAAAGGAGAUUGGACGGCAGGCAG
rnacentral:ncRNA from 2 species